rnacentral:ncRNA from 1 species
GUUACAAGUGUCUACGGAGACCGCCCCGAUUCACGGGGAGGAAGGAGGGGAUGACGCCAAAUCCGCAUGGCCCUUUGAUGCCCUGGGCAACACUCAUGCUACAAUGGUCGGUACAACGGGUUGCGAAGCCGCAAGGUGGAGCUAAUCUCUAAAAGCCGGCCCCAGUUCGGAUUGAGGGCUGAAACUCGCCCCCAUGAAGCCGGAUUCGCUAGUAAUCGCGGAUCAUUAUGCCGCGGUGAAUACGUUAUCGAGUCUUGUACUCACCGCCCGUCAGUUCAGUGGAGCCGGGAAUACCUGAAGCCCCGCAUUUUGCGGGAUUAGGGUAAGUUCGGUAACAAGGAAUAAGUCGUAACAAGGCACGUGUAGCGGAAGCUGUGCGUGAACCAAUUAUACU